AGAGCGAACGCUGGCGGCAUGCUUAACACAUGCAAGUCGCACGGGCAGGGGCAACUCUGUCAGUGGCGGACGGGUGAGUAACGCGUAGGUAUCUAUCCUUGGGUGGGGGACAACUGUGGGAAACUACAGCUAAUACCGCAUGAUGACCGAGGUCUAAAGGCGUCCGGGGUAACCUGGUGCGUCGCCUGAGGAGGAGCCUGCGUACGAUUAGCUAGUUGGUGGGGUAAAGCCUACCAAGGCGACGAUCGUUAGCUGGUCUGAGAGGAUGAUCAGCCACAUUGGGACUGAGACACGGCCCAAACUCCUACGGGAGGCAGCAGUGGGGAAUAUUGGACAAUGGGCGCAAGCCUGAUCCAGCAAUGCCGCGUGUGUGAAGAAGGUCUUCGGAUUGUAAAGCACUUUCGACGGGGACGAUGAUGACGGUACCGUAGAAGAAGCCCGGUUAACUCGUGCCAGCAGCCGC
rnacentral:rRNA from 1 species